GUGCUCAUUUGGGGAGCAUAUAUACUAAAAUUGGAAUAAUAUAGAAUAGAUUAGCAUUCCCUGUGCAAAUUCAUGAAGCAUUCCACAUGAAAAAAGUUACAAAUAUUU
ensembl:snRNA U6 U6 spliceosomal RNA